UCCAGCCUGGUGCAUAAGAGGGGCACAGUCUGGGUCUGGGUCAGCUCUCUGUGAGCCCUGCCCUGUGACUUCACUCCCGCUGAAGGCUCAGUCACCUGGGGGGACCAUUCCGUGAACAGCGAGGUCACAUCCACCCCGCCAUAUGUGCCUUUGGUCAAAGUUGCAGAAGCCUGUGGUUGGGCGUGAACCCAGCACUUUGCAGAAGUGUGAACUCUUAAUUUACCUCCCCCACAGCCACACACACAGGAAUGAAGGCAGCAGAGCCCAGCAGGAACCCGUCCUGCCCCAGGCCUGAGCUUUCUUAAGAGGCUGCAUGGGGCAGAAAGGACACCAGUCAUUGAUUGGAAGCCCCACCCUAACCCAGGAUGACCUCAUUUUAAUUGAUUAUUCGCAAAGACCCCGAGGCACAUUCACAGCAACGCCGCUGAGGCCAGAUCCCAAGCUGAGUUCUGACGAGAUAUACAAGCAACGCACACAGUUCCCGCCCCCAGGGAGCUCCCAGCCAAGCAGGAGAGAAGGCUGUGGAAAUGAUCCUUCUGGUACCACAGCUGCAGAGGUCACCUAGAACUCUGGGGGGAUUGGGGGAAAAUGGGGCAGAGCCAGUUUAAAAACCCUGUCCUUAGCCAGGCAUGGUGGUGGGCACCUGUAAUCCCAGCUACUCGGGAGGCUGAAGCAGGAGAAUCGCUUGAACCCAGGAAGUGGAGGCUGCAGUGAGCUGAGGCCGUGCCACUGCACUCCAGCCUGGGUGACUGAGCGAGACUCUGCCUCAAAACAAAAACCAAAAAACAAAAACAAAACCCUGUCUUGAAUUUUUGACAUUUAUUUUAUCCAAGUCAGGGCUCCUGGUCUGAAGAAUAUUUGACCUCACGACUAUUGGGGGACACUGGGGCUCCCUGCCCGGGGUUAGGAUGUUCUCUGCAGAUAUCAGGGCGUAGGUGCCGGUGACAAGGGUGCUUUGCCGCUGUGGCCCAGAGCUGGAAGCACAAGCUCUCAAAGGCUGGUUGUGAAGCUUCCAGGGGAGACGGUCCUCUCAGGAAGAAUAAGAGCCAUCCUGUAGCCUUUGCUGUUCCAGAAGGCUCCGUGGUGAAUACAUAAUUAGGCCCUCUGUAAUUACCAGUUUGAAUCUGCCUAGGACACUAGGGCUCCCACCCCCUAAUUUACCUUAUAAAUUUAUUCUGCUAAAAAAGU